rnacentral:rRNA from 1 species
UGAGGGAAUAUUGGGUCAAUGGGCGAGAGCCUGAACCAGCCAAGUAGCGUGCAGGAUGACGGCCCUAUGGGUUGUAAACUGCUUUUAUGCGGGGAUAAAGUGAGGGAUGCGUCCCUUUUUGCAGGUACCGCAUGAAUAAGGACCGGCUAAUUCCGUGCCAGCAGCCGCGGUAAUACGGAAGGUCCGGGCGUUAUCCGGAUUUAUUGGGUUUAAAGGGAGCGUAGGCCGGAGGGUAAGCGUGUUGUGAAUGCAGUUGCUCAACAUCUGCACUGCAGCGCGAACUGUUCUCCUUGAGUGCGCAGGAAGUAGGCGGAAUUCGUCGUGUAGUGGUGAAAUGCUUAGAUAUGACGAAGAACUCCGAUUGGGAAUCAGCUUACUGUAG